GGCGGCGGGCUUAACACAUCCUAGUAGAACGGAAAGGCCCUGCUUUUGUGGGGUGCUCGAGUGGCGAACGGGUGAGUAACACGUGAGUAACCUGCCCUUGACUUUGGGAUAACUUCAGGAAACUGGGGCUAAUACCGGAUAGGAGCUCCUGCUGCAUGGUGGGGGUUGGAAAGUUUCGGCGGUUGGGGAUGGACUCGCGGCUUAUCAGCUUGUUGGUGGGGUAGUGGCUUACCAAGGCUUUGACGGGUAGCCGGCCUGAGAGGGUGACCGGCCACAUUGGGACUGAGAUACGGCCCAGACUCCUACGGGAGGCAGCAGUGGGGAAUAUUGCACAAUGGGCGGAAGCCUGAUGCAGCAACGCCGCGUGCGGGAUGACGGCCUUCGGGUUGUAGACCGCUUUCGCCUGUGACGAAGCGUGAGUGACGGUAAUGGGUAAAGAAGCACCGGCUAACUACGUGCCAGCAGCCGCGGUGAUACGUAGGGUGCGAGCGUUGUCCGGAUUUAUUGGGCGUAAAGGGCUCGUAGGUGGUUGAUCGCGUCGGAAGUGUAAUCUUGGGGCUUAACCCUGAGCGUGCUUUCGAUACGGGUUGACUUGAGGAAGGUAGGGGAGAAUGGAAUUCCUGGUGGAGCGGUGGAAUGCGCAGAUAUCAGGAGGAACACCAGUGGCGAAGGCGGUUCUCUGGGCCUUUCCUGACGCUGAGGAGCGAAAGCGUGGGGAGCGAACAGGCUUAGAUACCCUGGUAGUCCACGCUGUAAACGGUGGGUACUAGGUGUGGGGUCCAUUCCACGGGUUCCGUGCCGUAGCUAACGCUUUAAGUACCCCGCCUGGGGAGUACGGCCGCAAGGCUAAAACUCAAAGGAAUUGACGGGGCCCCGCACAAGGGGGGGAGCAUGCGGAUUAAUUCGAUGCAACGCGUAAAACCCCCCUCUGGGGUGAUCCAAAGAGGGGGGGGGCUCCUCAGAGAUGGGUGUGCCUCUUUUGGGGUCGGUUCACAGGUGGUGCAUGCCUGUCGUCAGCUCGUGUCGUGAGAUGUUGGGUUAAGUCCCGCAACGAGCGCAACCCUUGUUCACUGUUGCCAGCACGUUAUGGUGGGGACUCAGUGGAGACCGCCGGGGUCAACUCGGAGGAAGGUGGGGAUGACGUCAAGUCAUCAUGCCCCUUAUGUCCAGGGCUUCACGCAUGCUACAAUGGCUGGUACAGAGAGUGGCGAGCCUGUGAGGGUGAGCGAAUCUCGGAAAGCCGGUCUCAGUUCGGAUUGGGGUCUGCAACUCGACCUCAUGAAGUCGGAGUCGCUAGUAAUCGCAGAUCAGCAACGCUGCGGUGAAUAAAAAGCCCGGGGCU
rnacentral:rRNA from 1 species